GACGAACGCUGGCGGCGUGCCUAAUACAUGCAAGUCGAACGCUUCUUUCCUCCCGAGUGCUUGCACUCAAUUGGAAAGAGGAGUGGCGGACGGGUGAGUAACACGUGGGUAACCUACCCAUCAGAGGGGGAUAACACUUGGAAACAGGUGCUAAUACCGCAUAACAGUUUAUGCCGCAUGGCAUAAGAGUGAAAGGCGCUUUCGGGUGUCGCUGAUGGAUGGACCCGCGGUGCAUUAGCUAGUUGGUGAGGUAACGGCUCACCAAGGCCACGAUGCAUAGCCGACCUGAGAGGGUGAUAGGCCACACUGGGACUGAGACACGGCCCAGACUCCUACGGGAGGCAGCAGUAGGGAAUCUUCGGCAAUGGACGAAAGUCUGACCGAGCAACGCCGCGUGAGUGAAGAAGGUUUUCGGAUCGUAAAACUCUGUUGUUAGAGAAGAACAAGGACGUUAGUAACUGAACGUCCCCUGACGGUACCUAACCAGAAAGCCACGGCUAACUACGUG
rnacentral:rRNA from 1 species